rnacentral:rRNA from 1 species
AUUGAACGCUGGCGGCAUGCCUUACACAUGCAAGUCGAACGGCAGCACGGGAGCAAUCCUGGUGGCGAGUGGCGAACGGGUGAGUAAAGUAUCGGAACGUGCCCAGUCGUGGGGGAUAACGUAGCGAAAGUUACGCUAAUACCGCAUACGAUCUAUGGAUGAAAGCGGGGGAUCGCAAGACCUCGCGCGAUUGGAGCGGCCGAUAUUAGAUUAGGUAGUUGGUGGGGUAAAGGCUCACCAAGCCGACGAUCUGUAGCUGGUCUGAGAGGACGACCAGCCACACUGGGACUGAGACACAGCCCAGACUCCUACGGGAGGCAGCAGUGGGGAAUUUUGGACAAUGGGCGAAAGCCUGAUCCAGCCAUGCCGCGUGCAGGAUGAAGGCCUUCGGGUUGUAAACUGCUUUUGUACGGAACGAAAAGGUUUGGCCUAAUAAGCUGAGCUCAUGACGGUACCGUAAGAAUAAGCACCGGCUAACUACGUGCCAGCCGCCGCGGUAA